rnacentral:rRNA from 1 species
AUACGGGGGGAGCAAGCGUUGUCCGGAAUUACUGGGCGUAAAGGGCGUGUAGGCGGCUUGAUAAGUCAGAUGUGAAAGCCUUCCGCUUAACGGAAGAACUGCAUUUGAAACUGUCGGGCUUGAGUGCGAGAGAGGGUAGUGGAAUUCCCAGUGUAGCGGUGAAAUGCGUAGAUAUUGGGAAGAACACCAGUAGCGAAGGCGGCUACCUGGCUCGUAACUGACGCUAAGGCGCGAAAGCGUGGGGAGCAAACAGGAUUAGAAACCCCUGUAGUCC